rnacentral:rRNA from 1 species
CCUACGGGGGGCAGCAGUGAGGAAUAUUGGUCAAUGGGCGUAAGCCUGAACCAGCCAAGUCGCGUGAGGGAUGAAGGUUCUAUGGAUCGUAAACCUCUUGUAUAAGGGAAUAAAGUGUGGGACGUGUCCUAUUUUGUAUGUACCUUAUGAAUAAGGAUCGGCUAACUCCGUGCCAGCAGCCGCGGUAAUACGGAGGAUCCGAGCGUUAUCCGGAUUUAUUGGGUUUAAAGGGUGCGUAGGCGGCCUUUUAAGUCAGCGGGGAAAGUCUGUGGCGCAACCAUAGAAUUGCCGUUGAGACUGGGGGGCUUGAGUAUGUUUGAGGCAGGCGGAAUGCGAGGGGUAGCAGUGAAAUGCUUAGAUAGCACGCAGAACCCCGAUUGCGAAGGCAGCCUGCUAAGCCAUGACUGACGCUGAUGCACGAAAGCGUGGGGAUCAAACAGGAUUAGAUACCCGUGUAGUC